rnacentral:rRNA from 1 species
UACGUAGGUGGCAAGCGUUGUUCGGAAUUAUUGGGCGUAAAGGGCGCGUAGGCGGUUUGUUAAGUCGGCUGUGAAAGCCCGGGGCUCAACCCCGGAGGGUCAGCCGAUACUGGCAGACUAGAGUACGGAAGAGGUAGCUGGAAUUCCCGGUGUAGCGGUGAAAUGCGUAGAGAUCGGCAGGAAGACCAAGGGGGAAGCCAGGCACCUGGGCCCGUACUGACACUCAUGGACGACCGCGUGGGGAGCGAACCGG